AGUGGAUCCAGUUGGACCUGAAAAUACAUUGCCUGGAGUCAGUUGUUCCUGAGCCACUUCUGAUAGCAACAGCUGUCGAGUGGGGCUGAAAGACGAAGGCCUGGUUCCUCUGUGACUUGGAAGUUCUACCACCACAUCAGUGUCACAGUACCUAGGACUCUGUGGGACUUUGGGCACCAGAUCCCUUUCUCCAGGGGACAGAGAGAGGCGUCCACUGCUCCUACUGCAGGUUCCAUCUCUUGGCUCUUCCGGAAAGCAGGCCUGCUAAACUAUAAUGAAACCCUAGGAUGUUACUAGAUAACUCACAUUUUCCUAGCAUUGUAUGUUCCUUUAUAACCUCAGAGAUGUAUCUACUCCUAGCUGUGUACUGAGGCAAGUUGCUUAACCACAAGUAAAAUGCGGAUAAUCAAAGUGCCUUCUUUGUGGGACAAUUAUAAAGACUAAGUGUGGUACUAUAUUUUACAUACUUGGUAUGGUGCUCAGCCUGAAUGAUAGUUGGGAG
rnacentral:lncRNA from 1 species